GAGUUUGAUCCUGGCUCAGAUUGAACGCUGGCGGCAUGCCUUACACAUGCAAGUCGAACGGCAGCACGGGAGCUUGCUCCUGGUGGCGAGUGGCGAACGGGUGAGUAAUGCAUCGGAACGUAUCCUGGACGUGGGGGAUAACGUAGCGAAAGUUACGCUAAUACCGCAUAUUCUGUGAGCAGGAAAGCGGGGGACCUUCGGGCCUCGCGCUCUUGGAGCGGCCGAUGUCGGAUUAGCUAGUUGGUGAGGUAAAGGCUCACCAAGGCGACGAUCCGUAGCAGGUCUGAGAGGAUGAUCUGCCACACUGGAACUGAGACACGGUCCAGACUCCUACGGGA
rnacentral:rRNA from 1 species